ACAGCAACCAUAUUCACCAACUUCAAUCCCGAUACCUCAAAGGAAAGAAAACUACCCUGAAACAAAUCCUGGACCAAAGCCUUUAUUUUCCCCUGGUUAUACACAACAAUCACAUUCACCAACUUCAAACCCGACACCUCAGAGGCCUGAGGCAGCACAUGGCACAAAGCCGCUGUUUUCCUCUGUUCAUACACAACAACCAUACUCACCAACUUCAAACUCGAUACCUCAAAGGAAAGAAAACUACCCUGAAACAACUCAUGGACCAAGGCCUCUGUUUUCCCCUGGUUAUACACAACAAUCACAUUCACCAACACCUCAGAGGAAAGAAAGCCAUCCUGAGGCAGCACACGGCACAAAGCCUCUGUUUACCCCUAUUCAUACACAGAAACCAUAUUCACCAACUUCAAACCCGAUACCUCAAAGGAAAGAGAACUACCCUGAAACAACUCAUGGACCAAGGCCUCUGUUUACCCCUAUUCAUACACAGAAACCAUAUUCACCAACUUCAAACCCGAUACCUCAAAGGAAAGAAAGCUACUCUGAAACAGCACACGGCACAAAGCCUCUGUUUACCCCUGUUCAUACACAGCAACCAUAUUCACCAACUUCAAACCCGAUACCUCAAAGGAAAGAAAGCUACCCUGAAACAGCACACGGUGCAAAGCCUUUGUUUUCCUCUGGUUAUACACCACAAUCACAUCCACCAACUUCAAACCCAACACCUCAAAGGAAAGAAAGCUACCCAGAAACAACACACGAUACAAACCCUAUGUUUUCCCCUGUUUCUACACAACAAUCAACUGCAAAUCCGACCUCUCAAAACAACGAAAGUCAGCCAAAGAAGAAAAAAGGUUGGACAUCUCUGUUUUCCUC
rnacentral:lncRNA from 1 species